CGGAAUUGCUAGUAAUCGCGGAUCAGCAUGCCGCGGUGAAUACGUUCUCGGGCCUUGUACACACCGCCCGUCACACCAUGAGAGUCGGGAACACCCGAAGUCCGUAGCCUAACCGCAAGGGGGCGCGGCCGAAGGUGGGCUCGAUAAUUGGGGUGAAGUCGUAACAAGGUACC
rnacentral:rRNA from 1 species